AACAAGGUUUCCGUAGGUGAACCUGCGGAAGGAUCAUUACCUAGAGUUGUAGGCUUUGCCUGCUAUCUCUUACCCAUGUCUUUUGAGUACCUUCGUUUCCUCGGCGGGUCCGCCCGCCGAUUGGACAAUUUAAACCAUUUGCAGUUGCAAUCAGCGUCUGAAAAAACUUAAUAGUUACAACUUUCAACAACGGAUCUCUUGGUUCUGGCAUCGAUGAAGAACGCAGCGAAAUGCGAUAAGUAGUGUGAAUUGCAGAAUUCAGUGAAUCAUCGAAUCUUUGAACGCACAUUGCGCCCCUUGGUAUUCCAUGGGGCAUGCCUGUUCGAGCGUCAUUUGUACCUUCAAGCUCUGCUUGGUGUUGGGUGUUUGUCUCGCCUCUGCGUGUAGACUCGCCUCAAAACAAUUGGCAGCCGGCGUAUUGAUUUCGGAGCGCAGUACAUCUCGCGCUUUGCACUCAGAACGACGACGUCCAAAAGUACAUUUUUACACUCUUGACCUCGGAUCAGGUAGGGAUACCCGCUGAACUUAAGCAUA
rnacentral:rRNA from 1 species